GGUUCAAUUUCAACUCUUCUUCCUGCAAAUCAGCCAAAAAGAAAAUUAAAUACAGUUUUUAACGGUUCUAUACAAAAUAACACUUCAAACAAAGAAAAUUAUUGGCCAUAAGCACAGAAAUAGAAAUACAAAGUAUCAUCUUGUAGGAAAUUUUAUACAAGUUUCAUGAAAAGUGUAUUAAUAGAUUUUAAGAAGUCAUUAUAUGGAUUGUACACAUGUCUAAGUAAUGGUAAAUGCCCACAGAUCUACAGAUCCAACACCUAUAAUAUAAGAAUAUGAAACAAUUUGUAAGUCAGAGAAAGUAAAUAUACAUGUAACCAAAAUUGCACAAAUACACAUUGCAU
rnacentral:misc_RNA from 1 species